CGUAAUCGAUAUUUCUCACGAGAUCGAAUUUUUAACGGGAAAAAUGGCGGAACGAAGCACAUCUCAUCUGUGAAGAAAAAAAUAAUAUCCAGAAGAAUAGAAGUAUUAUCCAAAGAAGAAAAGAAGUAUUAUCCCAAAUUUCUCAGUGAUCAUUUCGUGUGAACGUGCGACUACAGCGCCAACAGAGAAGUACGCAAUAGACUUCCUACGAUUCUCGAACGUAUCGAUAUUUCUCACGAUCGAGGUUUGAACGGGAAACAUGGCGGAAAGGAGCACGUCUCAUCCGUAAAGAAGAAAGAAUAUUAUCCAUAAUAUUAUCCAGAAGAAUUAUCCAGAAAGAAGUAUUAUCCAAAAGUUCUCAGGUAAGGUGUAGAAGGCCUUCGAAAUUCGUAGUUCAAAACACACGCUUACGUGUUACCGGUAGCUUAUCUCGUACAUUUCUUUAGUAGAAUUUGAGGUUAUUCCUUGAUUUCAGAGAUAGGAUAGAACACAGACGCCACGAUUAUUUAAUGGACAAUCUGAUAUUCUUUGACGGAAAUUUGAAAAUUUUAGUGACCGCGCGCAAUGCGGUAGAGCAUUGUUGCGGAAGUGUUUGUUGCGAGGUAUUUUUAUAUUUUUCUGAGCAAAAUGGCUCUCAAGACUAAACAAUCAAUUCAUUCAAAUUAUAAUUCGCGAAAUUGGAGUCAGUGAGUUCGUCGAUUAUUACUUAAACGCGCGCGUUGAUACUCUUUUAUUUUUCUUUUUUUGUAUUUUUUCUUGUUCAGUGUUCGUUUUCGGUAUAUAGAGUCAGAGUGCUCAAGAGGAUAAGGCCUCUCCAGGAGAUCAAGAUCAUCUUCUACAGUCUCCACUUUCCCUAAUCUUCCAAGAAUCAUAUGAUGCUUCAAAAGCUGAAAACUGGUAUUUACCUGAUGAGAGUCUUCACGACAACUUUCCCUGCUCCAGUGCAGCAUCGAUGACAACAUUCUUCGCAUCUAUCGCGUGAGUCGCAUGCAUUUAUGUUCCUCCGGUCACUCAAUCAUGUCGUAGGACGAAAGGUCCGAAUCGGCACGGGUGACUGGUUGUAU